GAUGAACGCUGGCGGCGUGCCUAAUACAUGCAAGUCGAGCGAACAGACGAGGAGCUUGCUCCUCUGACGUUAGCGGCGGACGGGUGAGUAACACGUGGAUAACCUACCUAUAAGACUGGGAUAACUUCGGGAAACCGGAGCUAAUACCGGAUAAUAUAUUGAACCGCAUGGUUCAAUAGUGAAAGACGGUUUUGCUGUCACUUAUAGAUGGAUCCGCGCCGCAUUAGCUAGUUGGUAAGGUAACGGCGUACCAAGGCAACGAUGCGUAGCCGACCUGAGAGGGUGAUCGGCCACACUGGAACGGAGACACGGUCCAGACUACUACGAGAGGCAGCAGUAGGGAAUCUUCCGCAAUGGGCGAAAGCCUGACGGAGCAACGCCGCGUGAGUGAUGAAGGUCUUCGGAUCGUAAAACUCUGUUAUUAGGGAAGAACAAAUGUGUAAGUAACUAUGCACGUCUUGACGGUACCUAAUCAGAAAGCCACGGCUAACUACGUG
rnacentral:rRNA from 1 species